CAGUACUGGCCACAUUUUCUCCUGCCGCCUUCCUCAAAGCUGAAGACAUAGAGAGCAAGUUAAGCCUUCACUCUUCAACCAGCUGUAAGCUGCUUCCCACCACAAACUGCUGAGUUUAUAGCAAUGUGAUCUGCACUGCUCCUGCAGCCACUGAUACUUGGCAGAAAAAGGAUAUCUCUUCAUUCUACACAGGCGUUAAAACAGCUACUGUUCUUACAUGUAUACAUUUAGCAGACAUGUAUUGUACAUUCACUGUAUCAUCUGGACUCUUUCCUGAUAACCUGGUUGUAUUUCUCACACAUAGUAGCAAAAACACAGGGAGGCCUAGACUUUAGCCGCUGCUCAGUUUUUUUCCACAGAGGGCCCUGGGCUGACACACGAAUGGAAAAGACACAAUUCCUGUAUGUAACUAAGUCCACAUACUUCAUCUCACCACUUUUGAGUGGCCUCAGAGAACAAUGAGGUAGUACUUCUCCCAACUACAGAUAGCUACUGACAAUAUCUGAGGAAGGGAACUAAGCAAACAUCUUCUUCCCCAUCUGAAAUAGGUUAUAAUAAUGAUGAUACUAAUAAAAUAUGAAAUUCCUGAAAUUUGGCAAUAAAACAACCCUUUAUUCAGAACUUCCUGCCUUAUGUUUCAACCCUCUUUUUUCUGUUCCCUUACAGGUAGAGAUGUGAAUGAACAGAAUAGCAGUCAGAAGAAGAAGGAAAUGAAGGGCUAAGGGAACUGGCAAUUCAGCAGCCAGGAAGGCACCCUUCCUCUUCAGACAAGAGGCAGCUUAAAGGGAGGUCCUCAAACACACUGUACCAUCUCCGUAUGGGACCCAGGCUGGAUUUCUAGCACCCAUCUGACUGCUUAAAACCAGCUGUGACUCCAGUCCUUGAGGCUCCAUUGCCCUCUUCUGGCACCCAAGGGCACUAAAUACACAUGGUAGUCAAACAUAUACAGGCAAAAGUAAGUAUAUACAUACAAUAAAAAUAAAUAAAAUCUCAAAAAAUUAAUAUUACAUAUAUUUUUAAGUGUGAUAUUUGUAUAUGCUAGAAUUUGUGGCCCUGUUGGAGUAGGUGUGUCACUGUGGGUAAGGGUUAUAUAUCCUAGCUACCUGUAAGUCAGUAUUCUGCUAGCAGCCUUCAGAUGAAGAUGUAGAACUCUCAGCUCCUCCUGCACCUUG
rnacentral:sRNA from 1 species